UGUGUGUGUGUGUGUGUGUGUGUGUGAAGCAUGGUGGCUUAGCGGUUAGCAUAUUCACCUCAUUCUUCCAGUGUCGGGGGUUCGAUUCCCACCUUGGCCCUGUGUGUGCGGAGUUUGCAUGUUCUCCCCGUGCUGCGGGGGUUUCCUCUGGGUACUCUGGUUUCCUCCUCCAGUCCAAAGACAUGCAUGGUAGGCUGAUUGGCGUGUCCAAAGUGUUCGUAGUGUAUGAAUCACUGUGCCCGGGGGCCAUCUUCAGUCGUCUUGACUCAGUCUUGCCACUGGAUCAUGGCGGUCACCGGGAAGUGAUAGUGAGGCCGAUGCUGCGCGAGUCUUCGUCACUUGAAUCCAAUUCACGUGCAAGUUGAGUCCCAUAUUGUGUUCUCCAUAAUGGAGGCGGAAAUGGAAAAUUCGGCCUUCGUCGAAAUUGACGGACGAACUCCUGUGUGUGUGUGUAUGUAAUCUUUAGAUUAGAGAAGUAAUAUACUAAUGUUUUUUUUUAAUUCAGAGUAAGCAGCUGUGUUUUCAAAGCCUAAGUGGUGCGAUGGACGGUGAACCAGAGCCAAGAGCGCGGGCAGGUGACCCAGCUGUGGACGAGAAAUAUUUUGUCAGGUGCCCUCCUGUUUUCUAAGAAGAGCCCUGAUCCUAACACACAGGUGGGUGCGUGCAUUGUAAAUGAGGAAGGGAAAAUUGUGGGUAUCGGCUACAACAAAAUGCCCAAUGGCCGUGAGAAUGACUUCCCCUGGAAGCGUGACGAUGAAGACAAACUGAACAACAAAUAUCCAUACGGUGAGUUACGGCACUGCAGCAUGCUUUAAAAUGUCAUGCUUCAUUUUAAAACUGUAAACAGCUUUAUUCCUGUUAUACACUGCAGUAUUCUACAUGUAUUUUACACAGUUCACAUUGUACAUCUGUCUCAUAGCAAACUUUAUUUAACUGAAGUAUAAAUACAGCUUUAAGUUUUCUAUGGUUUUAUUUCACUCACUU